UCGAGUCCAAACACAGUCUUGUUAUUUGUAUUUUGUCCUUGACUACGUUCAGUCAGCAAAUACGCGAAGGUACGAGCGGACAUAUUCCAGCGAUCUACGUGGUGUCUCAAGUGAUUUAUCGAGAACAAAAGAUAUCGAUUUUUCACAUCUAAAUCAAUCAUGGAUACAUACGUGAUGAGCAGCAAUAGAUUCAACAAUAUGAGAAAGAUGUUGCGAAUGAAGGAUAAAUCUUUGGAAUGCAUUUGCUACAGACCGCAUUCUAAGAUCAUAUGCAACAGUUGUGGAUUUUGGACCAAAGGGAGAGUGAGACACUGUUGCCCACAACAUCCUCAGAUGAUAUUCUUAUAUGACUAUGUUACAUGUCCACGUUGCAAGAGCUAUAACUUUAUGCUGACAGAAGUUUGAAGUCACUGACAUCCAUAGCAGAGAAGCCACAGAGAUUAGAAUGUUAGAUAUAGGUAGAUAUUCAUAAACAUAAGACUGUUAUUCAUACAAUAAACAUAGCGACAUAAGACUGUUGUUUAUUCAUGUAACAAAUAUUUUUUCAUAUAAUAUUCAUAUAAUAGUGACAUAAGAAUGUUAUGUUCUGAAUCAAGCGUGAUAUUUUUACUUAUUUGCAUUAGAGAUAAUUGUAUAAUUGAACUAAUUGUCAAAAUGUUUGUAGGCUGUUUAGGUAUUAAGUUAACUUGUUUUGUUUUCAUAUAUAUAUAUAUAAAAGUAUUAUUAAAAUGUAUAAUUGUGUGUAAAGAACAGUUAAAAAUAAUGGCAACAAUGGAGAUUAUCACAUGAUGAGAUUGAAUUAAUGGCAAAUUUUUCGGUGUGUUCAAUGUAUGUUGUUAUAAAAAAUUUGCAUUCUCACAAUUAAGCAUCAUCUGACUCUAGAUUCUCCUCUUUAACAUCUUUCUUUACAAGACCAGAAAGAAGAAAAUGUUUCAAAGUAAAGACUUAAAACCUAAUGCAUAUCCAUGUGUGUCAUACAUAUUAAUAUUCUAUACAUAUAUAUAUAUAUUUGCUUAUGCAUGUGUAUAUAUAUACAAGUAGUAAUGAUCGAUGGAUAUUGCUAUUUAUUCUGUGAUGAUCUAGAAUAAGCAAUAGAAUAUUAAAACAUUUUGACAAUAUGUUCUUAACAAAUUACAUACAUUAUAUUAUAUAUAUAUAUAUAUACAUAGUUUGUAUUCUUGUUCUAUAAAGAUUCAGUACUUUUUUCUUUUUUUUUUUUUUGAUAUUUUGAUAAAAGUGUUUUUCCGUCUUCUUUUUCACUUUUAUUAAAAUAAUUGACUAAGUACAAUACAAGUGUGAUA